UAAAGGCUAAAAAAUUCAGGCGCUCAAAUUGAGCCUAAGAGGGAACUCCGUGAAAAUCGGGGACGGGCCCGGCGCUGUAACUGGGGACGAAAACCGCAAUUGCCACUGUCUGAGGAACUAUCAUGAGCAUGGACAAAGCUUCAAUGAUGGGAAGGCGCGGUAAGUAGGAUGAUCCGGAAGUCAGAAGACCUGCCUGAACAUUAAAAAGAGG
rnacentral:ncRNA from 2 species